rnacentral:rRNA from 1 species
AGAGUUUGAUCCUGGCUCAGGAUGAACGCUGGCGGCGUGCCUAACACAUGCAAGUCGAACGAAGAUGCAUUUUAGAUCCCUUCGGGGUGACGAGAUGCAGACUUAGUGGCGGACGGGUGAGUAAUGUAUGAGCAACCUGCCUUCAAGAGGGGAAUAACAGUCGGAAACGACUGCUAAUACCGCAUAACAAAGCGUAGUCGCAUGACAAUGCUUUCAAAGGAGCAAUCCGCUUGAAGAUGGGCUCAUAUCUGAUUAGAUAGUUGGUGAGGUAACGGCUCACCAAGUCUGCGAUCAGUAGCCGGACUGAGAGGUUGAACGGCCACAUUGGAACUGAGAUACGGUCCAGACUCCUACGGGAGGCAGCAGUGGGGAAUAUUGGGCAAUGGGCGAAAGCCUGACCCAGCAACGCCGCGUGAAGGAAGAAGGUCUUCGGAUUGUAAACUUUUGUCUUAUGGGACGAUAAUGACGGUACCAUAGGAGGAAGCCACGACUAACUACGUGCCAGCAGUCGCGGUAAUACGUAGGUGGCGAGCGUUAUCCGGAAUUAUUGGGUGUAAAGGGUGCGUAGGCGGGUCGUAAAGUCAGAUGUGAAAUGCGGAGGCUCAACCUCCGAACUGCAUUUGAAACUUACGAUCUUGAGUGGAGUAGAGGCAAGCGGAAUUCCCGGUGUAGCGGUGAAAUGCAUAGAUAUCGGGAGGAACACCAGUGGCGAAGGCGGCUUGCUGGGCUUUUACUGACGCUGAGGCACGAAAGUGUGGGGAGCAAACAGGAUUAGAUACCCUGGUAGUCCACACCGUAAACGAUGGAUACUAGGUGUAGGCGAGAUAUCGUCUGUGCCGGCGCAAACGCAAUAAGUAUCCCACCUGGGGAGUACGGCCGCAAGGUUGAAACUCAAAGGAAUUGACGGGGGCCCGCACAAGCAGUGGAGUAU